rnacentral:rRNA from 1 species
GUGAGGAAUAUUGCGCAAUGGGCGAAAGCCUGACGCAGCAACGCCGCGUGGAGGAUGAAGGCUCUCGGGUUGUAAACUCCUUUUCUGGGAGAAGAGCAAGGACGGUAUCCCAGGAAUAAGUCUCGGCUAACUACGUGCCAGCAGCCGCGGUAAAACGUAGGAGGCUAGCGUUAUCCGGAUUCACUGGGCGUAAAGCGCACGCAGGCGGUUAUGUAAGUCGGACGUGAAAUCUCUCGGCUCAACUGAGAGAGGUCGCUCGAUACUGCAUGACUUGAGGUUGGGAGAGGGGAGUGGAAUUCCCGGUGUAGUGGUGGAAUGCGUAGAUAUCGGGAGGAACACCAGUGGCGAAAGCGGCUCCCUGGCCCAACCCUGACGCUCAUGUGCGAAAGCGUGGGGAGCGAACGGGAUUAGAUACCCUAGUAGUCC